rnacentral:rRNA from 1 species
UACGUAGGGCGCAAGCGUUAUCCGGAAUUAUUGGGCGUAAAGAGCUCGUAGGCGGUUUGUCGCGUCUGCCGUGAAAGUCCGGGGCUCAACUCCGGAUCUGCGGUGGGUACGGGCAGACUAGAGUGAUGUAGGGGAGACUGGAAUUCCUGGUGUAGCGGUGAAAUGCGCAGAUAUCAGGAGGAACACCGGUGGCGAAGGCGGUUCUCUGGGCAUUACCUGACGCUGAGGAGCGAAAGUGUGGGGAGCGAACAGG